rnacentral:rRNA from 1 species
UGCCAGCAGCCGCGGUAAUACGGAGGGCGCAAGCGUUGUUCGGAAUCAUUGGGCGUAAAGCGGGUGCAGGCGGUCGGACAAGUCGGAUGUGGAAUCCCCGGGCCCAACCCUGGAAUUGCAUUCGAAACUGUUCGACUAGAGUCCCGGAGAGGGUGGCGGAAUUCCCGGUGUAGAGGUGAAAUUCGUAGAUAUCGGGAGGAACACCAGUGGCGAAGGCGGCCACCUGGACGGUGACUGACGCUCAGACCCGAAAGCGUGGGGAGCAAACAGGAUUAGAUA